GACGAACGCUGGCGGCGUGCUUAACACAUGCAAGUCGAACGGUAAGGCCCUUCGGGGUACACGAGUGGCGAACGGGUGAGUAACACGUGGGUGAUCUGCCCUGCACUUCGGGAUAAGCCUGGGAAACUGGGUCUAAUACCGGAUAGGACCACUGCCUGCAUGGGUGGUGGUGGAAAGCUUGUGCGGGGUGGGAUGGGCCCGCGGCCUAUCAGCUUGUUGGUGGGGUGAUGGCCUACCAAGGCGACGACGGGUAGCCGGCCUGAGAGGGUGACCGGCCACACUGGGACUGAGAUACGGCCCAGACUCCUACGGGAGGCAGCAGUGGGGAAUAUUGCACAAUGGGCGCAAGCCUGAUGCAGCGACGCCGCGUGAGGGAUGACGGCCUUCGGGUUGUAAACCUCUUUCAGCAUCGACGAAGCGAAAGUGACGGUAGGUGCAGAAGAAGGACCGGCCAACUACGUGCCAGCAGCCGCGGUAA
rnacentral:rRNA from 1 species